CAGCAGCCGCGGUAAUACGUAGGUGGCAAGCGUUGUCCGGAAUUAUUGGGCGUAAAGGGCUCGCAGGCGGUUUCUUAAGUCUGAUGUGAAAGCCCCCGGCUCAACCGGGGAGGGUCAUUGGAAACUAGGAAACUUGAGUGCAGAAGAGGAGAGUGGAAUUCCACGUGUAGCGGUGAAAUGCGUAGAGAUGUGGAGGAACACCAGUGGCGAAGGCGACUCUCUGGUCUGUAACUGACGCUGAGGAGCGAAAGCGUGGGGAGCGAACAGGAUUAGAUACCCGCGUAGUCCCUGUCUCUUAUAC
rnacentral:rRNA from 1 species